rnacentral:rRNA from 1 species
UACAGAGGGUGCGAGCGUUGUCCGGAAUCACUGGGCGUAAAGGGCGCGUAGGCGGCUUGAUAAGGUUGCGGUGAAAGCCCCGGGGGCUCAACCCCCGGGUCGGCCGUGGCAACUGUCGAGCUGGAGCACUGUAGAGGCAGGUGGAAUUCCGGGGUGUAGCGGUGGAAUGCGUAGAGAUCCGGAAGAACACCGGUGGCGAAGGCGGCCUGCUGGGCAGUGGCUGACGCUGAGGCGCGACAGCGUGGGGGAGCAAACGGG